GACAGAGGGUGCAAACGUUGUUCGGAAUUACUGGGCGUAAAGCGCGUGUAGGCGGCCCUGCAAGUCGGAUGUGAAAUCCCACGGCUCAACCGUGGAAGUGCAUUCGAAACUGCAGGGCUAGAGUCCUGGAGAGGAAGGUGGAAUGCUUGGUGUAGAGGUGAAAUUCGUAGAUCUCAAGCGGAACACCGGUGGCGAAGGCGGCCUUCUGGACAGUGACUGACGCUGAGACGCGAAAGCGUGGGGAGCAAACAGG
rnacentral:rRNA from 1 species